GAGAAACGGAAAAAGAAGAGGAAAGAAACAAAGAAGAGGAAAGAAAGAAGAGAGGAAAGAGAGAAGAGAAAAGAGGAAAGAAAUAAGGGAAAAGAGAAAAGAAGAGAAAGGGAAACGGAAAGAAACAAAGAAGAGGAAAAAGUGAAGGGGAAAGAGACAAGAGGAAGAGAAGGAAGAAAGAGGGUGAAUGAGUGAAGAGAGAGAGCAGAGAGAAAAUUCAGUGAGCCACACAUGUUGUAAACACUAAAGUUGUAGCCAUAUUAUUUUAUAUAGUGAAAAGUUACUGCUGCUGCUCUCCGAGGACGUAGGCAUAGCCGAACCUCGUUAAAUGCUGUGUCUCAUCUACUUUACGUGCAGCUAAAUAUUCGUAC
rnacentral:lncRNA from 1 species